rnacentral:lncRNA from 10 species
CAUUUCUAAAAAACUGUUUAAAAUGUUAAAUGAGGCCAGAUGUGGUGACUCACACUUGUAAUCCCAGCACUUUGGGAGGCCAGGGUUGGCAGAUCACCUGAGGCCAGGAGUUCGAGACCACCCUGGCCAACAUGGCAAAACUCCAUUUCUACAAAAAAUACAAAAAAAAUUAGCCAGGCAUGGUGGUGUGCGCCUGUAGUCCCAGCAACUUGGGAGGCUGAGGCAGGAGAAUUCCUUGAAUCUGGGAGGCGGAGGGUGCAGUGAGCCGAGAUAGUGCCAGCUGAGGCAGGAGAAUUCCCUGGAGGUAGAGGUUACGGUGAGCCAAGAUGGCGCCACCACACUCCAGCCUGAGUGACAAAGCGAGACUCUGUCUCAAAAAAUAAAAAAUAAAGAAAAUUUUAAAUGAAGUGCCAGGGACUUUAUGCGCAUGUCAUGUGGAGCUAGAGGGUCCCGGGGAAGCUGUCUUGCACAAAGGAGCCAUAAACCUCUAAGGGCACCUGCCGGCUGAUGUCUCCUGGCUCUCGCCUCCUCCCUCUUUUCUCGACCUGCUCCUGACCCUGUGAUGUUGUUGGGGCAGUUGAACUGGGUUAUUUGCGUUGCUCACUGCCAUGUCAUCCUUUGUUUUGUAGAUGCCGUGGAAAGCAGAUACUCUAGAACGGAAGGCUCCCUUGAUGGAACUUAGACAGCAAGGCCAGAUGCACAUCCCUGGAAGGACAUCCAUGUUCCGAGAAGAACAGAUAAUCCCUGUAUUUCAAGACCUCUGUGCACUUAUUUAUGAACCUGCCCUGCUCCCACAGAACACAGCAAUUCCUCAGGCUAAGCUGCCGGUUCUUAAAUCCAUCCUGCUAAGUUAAUGUUGGGUAGAAAGAGAUACAGAGGGGCUGUUGAAUUUCCCACAUACCCUCCUUCCACCAAGUUGGAACAUCCUUGGAAAUUGGAAGAGCACAAGAGGAGAUCCAGGGCAAGGCCAUUGGGAUAUUCUGAAACUUGAAUAUUUUGUUUUGUGCAGAGAUAAAGACCUUUUCCAUGCACCCUCAUACACAGAAACCAAUUUUCUUUUUUAUACUCAAUCAUUUCUAGCGCAUGGCCUGGUUAGAGGCUGGUUUUUUCUCUUUUCCUUUGGUCCUUCAAAGGCUUGUAGUUUUGGCUAGUCCUUGUUCUUUGGAAAUACACAGUGCUGACCAGACAGCCUCCCCCUGUCCCCUCUAUGACCUCGCCCUCCACAAAUGGGAAAACCAGACUACUUGGGAGCACCGCCUGUGAAAUACCAACCUGAAGACACCGUUCAUUCAGGCAACGCACAAAACAGAAAAUGAAGGUGGAACAAGCACAGAUGUUCUUCAACUGUUUUUGUCUACACUCUUUCUCUUUUCCUCUACCAUGCUGAAGGCUGAAAGACAGGAAGAUGGUGCCAUCAGCAAAUAUUAUUCUUAAUUGAAAACUUGAAAUGUGCACAGAACCGUCUCCCACGACCAAGCAUGAUCAAGUCCCAAAUGCCAAUAAUGGCCAGGUUGAGAAACUCUGCACAGAAGCAUCCAGUUAUUUGUCUGUUUGCUCAACAAGCUUGUGCUCAUCAUGCUCUGUGUUCCUGACGCUGUGCUGGGUGUUGGCGGUGGGAAGAUUACAAGAGUCACAUGGCAGCUGUCCUCCUGGAAGGUACAACCCAGUAGAGAUGCAGACUAACAGAGAGCCAAUUACAAAGCAGUGUGACAAGCGUCAUGGUGGAAAAUUAAAAGCUCAAACAAGGGCACAUGGGAGGGGCUUCCAACACAGACUUUGGGGGAUCCAGGAAGGUCUAAGAGGAAAGUGGGUCUCACCAAAGCCUUGACCAUAGGCAGAGGGUACCAGUGGAAAAGGUGGGGUGAAGAACAUUGAGGACAAAAGGAAGAAGUGCAGGAAGGCCCUGAGGCAAGGGAGUGGGGGGUGCCCUGGAGGGAUGGCAGCAGGGCAGUCUGUCAGACCCAAGUGGCCUCCAGCCCUAGAAGCCAAUUAGUCCUCCUCAAAAAGCUGUCACUGUCCCCUAAGAAUUGCUGCCAGGCUCCCACUGGCCUGACUCAGUCUUUGAGAGUCUUAAGGAGGAGGUCUCUGAAAGGUACACACCAAGAACUCUCCCCAGCACAGCUGUUUUUAAGACUCUCCACCAGCGUCAUUGGCGUGUUGGGAAGAAACCCUCUGCCACAGAGGCCAGCUUCAGCCUUUGCCUAACACCGCAAGGGCAAAUGGAAAGGUAAACGGGAAGGAGAUGUCUCCCCAGCAGGCUAUUUGAGGACAGUCUUCCCUGCAGAAGAUCUCAACCUGGGGUCCACAGAGUGGAAAUGUUAGAGUAGGGAGCUAGGCAAACAUGAGCAGGACAGGUGAGGGCCCCCACAGGAAUGUCAGGCUACCAUCAGGUGAUGGUCAGGUGGUUGUUAAACUGUCUCUGUAAAAUAAUAAUUGGUUGCAGCCAGCUCCAAGCAAGGACAGUCUCUCAAUAGAUACAAAACACCCUGAUCUGGUGAUCAGCCGCUUCCCGAUAAGAUCUCAGGAGCUGGGCAAGCAGCCUGGAGCAUGCGCACCAAGAGGCAAAAUGGCGGAAUUUAACCAGUAUAUGACCUACCUUCCUCUGGGAACGCACGACUGGUAAGGGGAAAAAUGCCUCAAGUGAGCAUGCGCGCAACUUCAGUAAUCACACUGUGCAUGCGACCCCUUCCAAGUGCUGGCAGGUCACCACAUACGCGGACAGCCUGCUGCAAGGGAAGAAUCAGGGGAGAUGAGACGUAAAUCCCAGAACUAUGCCAAAUACAUAAAACCCCAAGUUAAGGGUCAGGCAGGGCACUUAGAUCUCUCAAGUUGCCUGCCUGACCCAAGUGUAGUGUACUUCCUUUUGUUCCUGCUCUAAAACUUUUUAAUAAACUCUCACUCCUGCUCUAAAACUUGCCUUGGUCUCUCCCUGUGCCUUAAAACCACUUAAAACCACCUCUGCCCCUCAGCUGAGUUCUGUCUUUGAGAAGGCAAGCAUCAAGUUUGCUGCAGACCCAUUGGAUUCACCACUGGUAACAGAAGUUGGGGUAAGGCGUGGGGCCUGAGAAUUCUCUAAGAGUAGGUGCAGCCGGGCGCGGUGGCUCACGCCUGUAACCCCAGCACUUUGAGAGGCUGAGGUGGGUGGAUCAGCUGAGGUCAGGAGUUCGAGACCAGCCUCAAUAUGGGGAAACCCCAUCUCUACUAAAAAUACAAAAUCAGCCGGGCGUAGUGGUGCA